UCGUACGCUUGUUGAGGGCAUAUCAGAUGAAUGUGAGAGUCGAAUCCGCCAUAUGUGACAAUUUUGUGCUCGCCUGCAAUCACAUCUGUCGUGCUUCCAAUGACCAUGCGAGGGUCAACGCCAGCCAUAACGUCCGGAUUCCCAGCCUUGCCCACGCCAACAAUGAUGCCAUCCUUAAUACCAAUAUCUGCCUUAUAGAUACCGGUGUAGUCAACAAUGAGCGCGUUCGUCACGACAGUGUCCAGGGCGUCCUUAUCGGCACGACCAGAAGCCUGACCCAUGCCAUCACGA
rnacentral:sRNA from 1 species